AUGGCGACGUUAGAGCAGCCUCCACCGACGGAGGCGACGACCCCUGGGGCGGACAGCGUGUUGGACCCCACGCAGGCGGCAGCGACCCCCGCGCCCCGCAAGCAGGGCCGGCCUCGAGGCAAGCCGCUGCCAGAGAGGCCCAAACGAAGUUUACUGUGUCUUGGACUGAAGAAUCCAUUGAGAAAAUUGUGUUAUGAUAUUGUUGAGUGGAAACCUUUCGAGUACAUGAUAUUGACGACGAUCUUCGCCAACUGCAUCGCCCUGGCGGUGUUCACCCCCUACCCCUCUGGGGAUACGAAUAAUACUAAUCAGAUAUUGGAAAAAGUAGAAUGGAUCUUCAUGGUGAUAUUUACUGGUGAGUGCGUGAUGAAGAUCAUAGCGUACGGGUUCCUGUUCCAUCCCGGCGCGUACCUCAGGAACACGUGGAACAGUCUCGACUUCACCAUAGUUACUAUAGGUAUAGUGAGCAUGAUCCUCCAGAUCAUCUCGAAGGACUCUAUCGAUGUGAAGGCGCUGCGAGCUUUCAGAGUGCUGCGGCCUCUUCGACUAGUCUCAGGAGUACCAAGUCUACAAAUCGUGUUGAACUCCAUUCUUAAGGCCAUGGUGCCGCUCUUCCAUAUAGCAUUUUUAGUGCUGUUUGUUAUCAUCAUCUACGCUAUUAUUGGGCUGGAGCUGUUCUCUGGCAUCCUUCAUGACACCUGCUACUCUAAUGAGACAGGUAACAUGAUGGACAAUCCAACACCUUGCGUAAAAGACGGUGAUGUGGGCUACAGAUGCAAGGCAGACGAGAUCUGCAAAGGUGAUUGGGAAGGGCCCAACGAUGGGAUCACCAGCUUCGACAAUAUCGGCUAUGCUAUGCUCACUGUGUUCCAGUGUAUUACUUUGGAAGGAUGGACGGAUAUUAUGUACGCUAUCGCUAACGUCAAAGGCAACACGUGGCCCUGGAUAUACUUCGUCACGAUGGUCAUCUUCGGCAAUUUCUUCGUGAUGAAUCUAAUUCUUGGUGUUUUGUCCGGAGAGUUCUCAAAAGAGAGAGAAAAAGCUAAGAGUCGCGGUGACUUCCAGAAGUCCAGAGAGAGACAGCAAUUCGAAGAGGAUUUGAAGGGAUACUUGAACUGGAUCACGGUGGCGGAGGAACUGGAUUUGGAGAAUGAUCAAGCACAGAAAGAGGAUGAUCAGGAUUCGCAGGGCAAUAAAAAAGAAAGGAAAAGCAAUGAAGGCUCACAGACGAAUGUGAAUAUGAAUGGGGAUCAAGGACAGUCGUCUACAUGUAAAGUGUAUUGCAAGAGAUUUGAUAAGGUGAACAGGCGUAUGCGCAGGGCAUGCAGGAAGGCGGUGAAGUCUCAGGCGUUCUACUGGACUAUCAUCGUACUGGUGUUCCUGAAUACCAUGGUUUUGGCUACCGAACAUUACAAACAACCCAAAUGGUUGGACCGGUUCCAGAACUACGCUAACUACAUGUUCGUUGUGCUGUUCACGAUGGAGAUGCUGGUCAAAAUGUACGCUCUGGGAUUUCAGGGAUACUUCGUGUCCUUAUUCAAUCGUUUCGACUGUUUCGUCAUGAUCUGCUCCAUCAUCGAGUUGGCGCUGACGGCAGCAGGCAGCAUCCCGCAGCUCGGUAUAUCCGUGUUGCGAUGCGUCAGGCUGCUCAGGGUGUUCAAAGUUACCAAAUACUGGCGUUCCCUCUCCAACCUGGUAGCUUCACUGCUGAACUCUAUCCAAUCCAUCUUCUCUCUGCUGCUGUUGCUGUUCUUGUUCAUCAUGAUCUUCGCGCUGCUCGGCAUGCAAGUGUUUGGUGGGAGAUUCGACUACCAACCCGAAGCUGAGAAGGAGAGGCACAACUUCGAUUCCUUCUGGCAGGCUGUGUUGACUAUGUUUCAGAUCCUAACUGGUGAGGAUUGGAACGUGGUGAUGUACGAAGGUAUCAAGGCGUACGGAGGCGUGGGAACUCCUGGAAUGCUCGCCUCUAUAUACUUCAUCGUCAUCUUUAUUUGUGGCAACUAUAUUUUACUAAACGUGUUCUUGGCUAUCGCCGUCGACAACUUGGGUGAUGCUGAAGAAAUGGACGAGAUUGAGAAGGCAAAGGAGGACGCUGAAAAUCCUGAAGCAGGAAACCCUCAAUUGGAUGAAGAGAGGCCAGAAACUGAUGAUGAAUUUGCUAAUGAAGAAGAGGGCUACUCCAGUGAAGGAUCAGAUCAUGAAUACGAAGAGACUGGUUCAGAAGAAGACGUAGAGGAGCAGGAGCAGGAAAGAGAAAAUGCAAACGAAGCACUCGUUAAUAAUGAAAAGAAACAGAAUGGUGACGUAAAAAAAGAAGAGUCACCUCCAAAACGCCCAGCCGGUAUUUCAGCUCGGCCGCGAAGGUUGUCGGAGGUGGAGAUCAAGACGCAAGAGAAACCCAUACCUGAUGGCACUAGCUUCUUCAUAUUCUCUAAAACGAAUUGGUUCCGUGUAAUGUGCUACACAAUUCAGAAUCAUUCCUGGUUCAAAAAUCUGAUAUUGGUGUGUAUUCUGGCGUCUUCGCUCAUGCUGGCGAUGGAAGACCCCGUCCCGAGCUCCGGCACUGAGGGUACAGUCGAAAUUCUCCGCAAGAUCGACUACUUCUUUACGGCGGUGUUCACCAUCGAGUUGGUGCUGAAGGUCAUCACCUACGGGUUCAUCCUCCACAAGGAUUCGUUCUGUCGCUCCGCGUUCAAUCUUCUUGAUCUACUCGUUGUCAUCGUGUCACUAGUCUCUUUGUUAGAUUUAAAGACAAACAGCAUAUCGUUCAUUAAGAUCUUGAGAGUGUUCAGAGUGUUGAGGCCUCUGAGGGCCAUCAACAGAGCCAAAGGAUUGAAGCACGUAGUACAGUGCGUCAUUGUUGCUAUAAAGACGAUCGGCAACAUUUUAUUGGUGACAAAUCUUCUACAAUUCAUGUUCGCGGUCAUGGGAGUGCAAAUGUUCAAGGGAAGAUUUUGCAAAUGUACAGACAGUACAAAAGUAACGGAGCUAGAGUGCAAAGGGUCAUAUAUAAUUUACGAGAACUCUAAGCCCACAAUACACGACCGCCAAUGGUUAACCAAUAAGUUCAAUUUCGAUGAUGUCCUGAGCGGAAUGUUGACGCUCUUCACCGUGUCUACCUUCGAGGGAUGGCCGUCAUUACUGUCCACCUCCAUGGAUUCGAAUGAGGAGGACCACGGACCGAUAGAGAAUUCUCGACCUUUGGUGGCGUUCUUCUACAUCAGUUACAUUAUUGUCAUAGCUUUCUUCAUGGUGAAUAUCUUCGUGGGUUUCGUUAUCGUGACAUUCCAGAAAGAGGGUGAGCAGGAGUUCAAAGAUUGUGAAUUAGACAAGAAUCAGAGGAAUUGUAUAGAGUUUGCCUUGAAGGCGAAGCCGGUAAGAAGGUACAUUCCAAAGCACCGUAUCCAGUACAAGACGUGGUGGUUCGUGACGUCACAGCGGUUCGAAUACUUCAUAUUCUUCUUCAUCGUUCUCAACACGAUCGCGCUCAUGAUGAAGUUCCAUGGUGCCUCUCCUGAGUAUAAGAAGGGUUUGGACUACCUCAACAUGCUGUUGACCACGGUGUUCAUGCUGGAGUUUGUGUUCAAGCUAGCUGCUUUUAGAUUUAAGAAUUACUUUGGAGACGCGUGGAACACGACAGACUUUAUUUUGGUUAUCGGAAGUAUCAUAGACAUUGUGGUCACUCAAGUCAACGAGAAUAGACCGGAGCAAAUUUAUGGCGCGACCAGAUCAACUAUGGAGGGCAUGAACCUCAAAUACAUAACCUUUUUCCGUCUCUUCCGUGCGAUGCGUCUCAUCAAGCUACUAUCAAGAGGAGAGAGGAUUCGGACCCUCCUGUGGACCUUCAUCAAGUCUUUCCAGGCGCUGCCCUAUGUAGCCCUGCUGAUCGUUCUUCUGUUCUUCAUCUAUGCUGUGGUGGGGAUGCAGUUGUUCGGCAAGGCGUUCCCUGACGACGAGAUCAUCACCAGUAACAACAACUUCCAGACCUUCGGAGGAGCCCUCAUGGUGCUGUUCAGAUCCGCUACAGGUGAGGCAUGGCAGGAGAUCAUGAUGGCGUUGUCCACCAACACCCUAGAGCGUCCCGGGGAGCCAGUGCGCUGCAUCGCCCACAUCGACAAGGACGGCGUGCCGCAACCAGACGACGAGUUAUGUGGCAACUGGCUCGCGUUCCCGUACUUCAUAUCGUUCUCAUUACUCUGCACCUUCUUGAUCAUAAAUUUGUUCGUGGCGGUCAUCAUGGACAACUUCGAUUAUUUGACUAGGGACUGGUCUAUCUUGGGACCGCAUCAUCUUGACGAGUUUAUCAGGUUAUGGAGUGAAUACGACCCUGACGCCAAAGGCAGGAUCAAACAUCUGGACGUGGUCACGUUGCUCAGGAAAAUCAGUCCACCUUUAGGUUUCGGCAAGCUGUGUCCACAUCGUACGGCGUGCAAGCGUCUCGUGUCGAUGAACAUGCCGCUCAACUCCGACGGCACCGUCAACUUCAACGCCACACUCUUCGCUGUGGUCCGGACGCAGCUUCAGAUCAAGACCACGGGAGUCAUAGACGAAUGCAACACGGAACUCCGUGCAAUAAUAAAGAAGGUUUGGAAGAGGACGUCCCCCAAACUCCUGGACCAGGUGGUGCCGCCGCCCGGGGACCCCAACGAGAUCACCGUCGGCAAGUUCUACGCCACCUUCCUCAUACAGGACUACUUCAGGAGGAACCAUGCGUUCCGUAAGAGAAAGGAGCAGGCGGCGGCGGCGUCGGUCACGAGCAACCAGAUGACGCUGCAGGCUGGCCUGCGGACCCUGCAUGAGGCAGGACCGGAGCUCAAGCGAGCCAUCUCCGGGAACCUGGACGAGAUUGUGGUGGAAGCUGUGGAGCCUAUGCAUAGGCGCAACCACACCCUAUUCGGCGCGGUGUGGACGAGCCUCAAGAAGCACGGGAAGGACGGGUUCAGCCGCUACCGACCCCACGCGGCUGCACCGCCGCGGACCAAGACGCAGAAUGAUAUUGAAGAAGAAGGCCCAUCUCUAAGUUCCAUGAUGAGGAGAGAGCUGGGACUCGACGGGAAAAUACCGGAAGAGGAAGUAAAAUACGACGACGGCAAUCAUAGCGACGAAGAGAUCGCGAUGCAACCACUCCUGCACGGAAAGGACUCUGAGAAGAUCUUCAAAGCUAUAGAAUCGUGACAAAGAGCCGAAACAGAGCAACAACGUGCCUUAUUGUGUAGAGAAUCCAGCGGAGAACCUUAUAACACGGGUGUUGAUGGAGCAGGGGUUAGGCAAGUACUGCGACAAGGAUUUCAUCCAGAGUACCU
rnacentral:misc_RNA from 1 species